rnacentral:rRNA from 1 species
CAGCAGCCGCGGUAAUACAGAGGGUGCAAGCGUUAAUCGGAAUUACUGGGCGUAAAGCGCGCGUAGGUGGUUUGUUAAGUUGGAUGUGAAAUCCCCGGGCUCAACCUGGGAACUGCAUCCAAAACUGGCAAGCUAGAGUAUGGUAGAGGGUGGUGGAAUUUCCUGUGUAGCGGUGAAAUGCGUAGAUAUAGGAAGGAACACCAGUGGCGAAGGCGACCACCUGGACUGAUACUGACACUGAGGUGCGAAAGCGUGGGGAGCAAACAGGAUUAGAUACCCGCGUAGUCCCUGUCUCUUAUAC